rnacentral:misc_RNA from 1 species
CGCAGGGUGGAAGAAAUGGAGAAAUUUAUACAAUUUCAGGACAGAGAGAUGAAAGAGUAUGUAGCUGAGAGAGAUGGGCUUAUUAAAGCACAUGAGGAGAAGUUUGCCGCAAUGAAGAGGAGGCACUGGGAAGAAGAGUUUGCGUUAGAAAAGGAGUUUGAUGCUGAACUGACGUCCUUGAUGGAGAAGUACACUCCAAACUCGCAUACCAAACAAGGAUGUAACAAUGUUUGAUAUUUUACUUUUUUCUGAGAUACAACCACCAAAGAGUAGGAAAAAUAUAUGAAGGCCAAAAGCCAGUUUCUAGUCAUUUGAGUCGGUAUAGACUUUGCUUCAUGUGCAUGCAUGCUUGAAGAUUUCUUAAAAUUUUAGUUUGGGAGUAAGCUGGCUGCUCUCUUUAUUACUUUCAAUGUUUACCCAGCUAUGAGCUUUGGGUUUGAUUGAUAGUAAUAAAGAGAGCAGCCAGCU